CGGGCGGGAGGGGGUGCUAUUAAUGCAAUUCAAAGAAACUCUGGUAUUGAUUGUUGCUUGCAUCAUGAUUUACUUUUAAUUGAUUGGCAAACUGGUGAGUAACACGUGGGAAACCUGCCCAAAACCGGGGGAUAACACCUGGAAACAAAUGCUAUUACCGCUUAACACCUUGAACCGCUUGGCCCAAGUUUGAAAAAUGGUUUCGGUUAUCCCUUUUGGAUGGCCCCCCGGCGUAUUACCUAAAUGGGGGGGAAACGGCUCCCCUUGGCAUUGAUCCUUACCCAACCUGAAAGGGUAAUCGGCCCCUUUGGAACUGAAACCCGGCCCAAAUUCCUACGGGAGGCACCAUUAGGAAAUCUUCCCCAAGGAACAAAAUUCUAAUGAACCACCCCCCCUUGAUUAAAAAAGGGUUUCGGCUCUUAAAAUUCUGUUGUUAAAAAAAAACUUUUCUAAAAUUAACGGUUCAGGUUUUGCCGGAAUUUAACCAAAAACCCCCGGUUAAUUACUUGCCACCACCCCCGGUAUAACUUAGGGGCCAGCCUUUUUCGGGAUUUAUGGGCCGUAAGCCAACCCCAGCCGUUUUUUUAGUUCUAAUGUAAAACCCUCCGGUUCACCCAAAAAAUUGCUCCGAAACCUGGAAAACUUGAUUGCAAAAAAGGACAGUGAACCUCCUGGUGUACCGUUGAAUUGCGUAGAUAUAUGGAAAACCACCAUUGGCGAAGGCGGCUGUCUGGUCUGUACUUGAAGCUAAGGCUCAAAGUUUGGGUAGCAAACAGGAUAAAUACCCUGGUAUUCCAUACCGUAAACGAUGAAUGCUAAGUGUUGGAAGGGUUCCGCCCUUUCACUGCUGCAGCUAACGCAUUACCAUUCCCCUGGGGGAGUACGGCCGCAGGCUGAAACUCAAAGGAACUGACUGGUGGCCCGCACAAGCGGUGGAGCAUGUGGUUUAAUUCGAAAUCUACGCGACGACCGUACAGUCUUGGACGUACUUAUGCAAAUUAAAGAAAUAAAAGUUCCCCUUCCGGGCAC
rnacentral:rRNA from 1 species